AUUGAACGCUGGCGGCAGGCCUAACACAUGCCAGUCGAGCGGAUGAAGGGAGCUUGCUCCUGGAUUCAGCGGCGGACGGGUGAGUAAUGCCUAGGAAUCUGCCUGGUAGUGGGGGAUAACGUCCGGAAACGGGCGCUAAUACCGCAUACGUCCUGAGGGAGAAAGUGGGGGAUCUUCGGACCUCACGCUAUCAGAUGAGCCUAGGUCGGAUUAGCUAGUUGGUGGGGUAAAGGCCUACCAAGGCGACGAUCCGUAACUGGUCUGAGAGGAUGAUCAGUCACACUGGAACUGAGACACGGUCCAGACUCCUACGGGAGGCAGCAGUGGGGAAUAUUGGACAAUGGGCCAAAGCCUGAUCCAGCCAUGCCGCGUGUGUGAAGAAGGUCUUCGGAUUGUAAAGCACUUUAAGUUGGGAGGAAGGGCAGUAAGUUAAUACCUUGCUGUUUUGACGUUACCAACAGAAUAAGCACCGGCUAACUUCGUG
rnacentral:rRNA from 1 species